rnacentral:lncRNA from 1 species
AGAGGAAGAGAGAGAGACAGAUCUCUUCUCUCUCUCCACACAGUGCACUGAGGAAAGGCCAUGUGAGGACAUAGCACGAAGUUGAUCACUUGCAUUCCAAGAAGAGAGAGCUCACCAGGAACUGCAUUGGCCAGCACCUUGAUCUUGGACUUCCCAUUCUCUAGAGCUUCAGUAAAGAGGAUCAGAAAUCAUUCUCAUUUACCUGAAAUGGACAAAAAUGCAUUUUCAGUUUUGCCACGAAGCUAUGUUUACUUGCCUGUCCUCUGUCAUCACAUAGUCCAAAGAGAUCUGAGCAGUCCCACAGAAUAUCACAUCGAUCCAUUACAUUGGUGACAUUAUGCUGAUUGGGAAGAAUGAGGAAGAAAGUGGCUAGUAAGCUAGAGGCCAAGCUCAUCUGUUCUGGUUCCUGUCAUUUGCAACUGAGAUUCGUAACUAAUUAAAAAAAAAGCUAACAAAAACAUGCAAGUCUUAUCUGAAUAAAACUACAAUACUUCAUAUUAUGUUCUAGAAGAAGACCUGAAUAAAUGGAAAGAUAUAACAAGCGAGCAUCCA